rnacentral:rRNA from 1 species
CAAGUCGAACGCGGGCAGCAAUGCCCGAGUGGCGAACGGGUGAGUAAUACAUAAGUAACCUGCCCUUUACAGGGGGAUAACUAUUGGAAACGAUAGCUAAGACCGCAUAGGUAAAGAUACCGCAUGGUAAGUUUAUUAAAAGUGCCAAGGCACUGGUAGAGGAUGGACUUAUGGCGCAUUAGCUAGUUGGUGAGGUAACGGCUCACCAAGGCGACGAUGCGUAGCCGACCUGAGAGGGUGACCGGCCACACUGGGACUGAGACACGGCCCAGACUCC